GGUUCGUUGGUGUAACGGUAACAUCCCGGAUUGUCGAUCCGGCGCUACGGGUUCGAUUCCCGUACGGACCGCCG
rnacentral:tRNA from 1 species